rnacentral:tmRNA from 1 species
GGGGCUGACUGGUAUCGACGGUAGAGUUGAUUGGUUAGUAAGCAUGUCGGAGCACUGAUGAUACACUCCGUUAACAAAUGAUGAUCAAACCAUAAUUGGCGAAAAUAGAUUCGCAUUAGCUGCCUAAUCAAGGAUUAGUAAGCUUUUAGUCAUUGCACUUGAUGCCUGAUACAAAGCGUAGUGACUUAAAAAUUUCGGGUAAGGAAGACUGGGUACUUUGACAGUAAUCCGAGAUUAAUCGAAGAUAAGAUGAUGGUGUCGCCGCUUUUAUGCCUACCUGAUUUCGAAAAUCUGAAUAAAAGCUAAGCAUGUAGAAAGUUCUCCGGUGCUUUGUCCGGACCAGGGUUCGAAUCCCUGCAGCUCCACAG